GACGAACGCUGGCGGCGUGCUUAACACAUGCAAGUCGAACGGAAAGGCCCUGCUUUUGUGGGGUGCUCGAGUAGCGAACGGGUGAGUAACACGUGAGUAACCUGCCCUUGACUUUGGGAUAACUUCAGGAAACUGGGGCUAAUACCGGAUAGGAGCUCCUGCUGCAUGGUGGGGGUUGGAAAGUUUCGGCGGUUGGGGAUGGACUCGCGGCUUAUCAGCUUGUUGGUGGGGUAGUGGCUUACCAAGGCUUUGACGGGUAGCCGGCCUGAGAGGGUGACCGGCCACAUUGGGACUGAGAUACGGCCCAGACUCCUACGGGAGGCAGCAGUGGGGAAUAUUGCACAAUGGGCGGAAGCCUGAUGCAGCAACGCAGCGUGCGGGAUGACGGCCUUCGGGUUGUAAACCGCUUUCGCCUGUGACGAAGCGUGAGUGACGGUAAUGGGUAAAGAAGCACCGGCUAACUACGUG
rnacentral:rRNA from 1 species